rnacentral:rRNA from 1 species
GGGAUGACGGCCUUCGGGUUGUAAACCACUGUCAGGGGGGACGAAUACUCGGCCGCGAAUAGCGGACCGAGGGUGACGGUACCUCCAAAGGAAGCACCGGCUAACUCCGUGCCAGCAGCCGCGGUAAUACGGAGGGUGCGAGCGUUGUCCGGAAUCACUGGGCGUAAAGGGCGCGUAGGCGGCUCGCUAAGUUGCCGGUGAAAUCCCGGGGCUCAACUCCGGGGCUGCCGGUAAGACUGGCGGGCUAGAGCACGGUAGAGGCAGAUGGAAUUCCCGGUGUAGCGGUGGAAUGCGUAGAGAUCGGGAAGAACACCAGUGGCGAAGGCGUUCUGCUGGGCCGUUGCUGACGCUGAGGCGCGACAGCGUGGGGAGCAAACAGGAUUAGAUACCCUGGUAGUCCACGCCGUAAACGAUGGACACAGGCGUCGGGGGGAGCGACCCCCUCGGUGCCGUCGCUAACGCAGUAAGUGUCCCGCCUGG